rnacentral:rRNA from 1 species
GAUGAACGCUGGCGGUAUGCUUAACACAUGCAAGUCGAACGGACUCUUCGGAGUUAGUGGCGGACGGGUGAGUAACGCGUGAGAAUCUGGCUUUGGGUUCGGGACAACCACUGGAAACGGUGGCUAAUACCGGAUGUGCCGAGAGGUAAAAGAGAAAUUGCCUGAAGAUGAGCUCGCGUCUGAUUAGCUAGUUGGUGAGGUAAAGGCUCACCAAGGCAGCGAUCAGUAGCUGGUCUGAGAGGAUGACCAGCCACACUGGGACUGAGACACGGCCCAGACUCCUACGGGAGGCAGGAGUGGGGAAUUGUCCGCAAUGGGCGAAAGCGUGACGGAGCAAUACCGCGUGAGGGAAGAAGGCUCUUGGGUUGUAAACCUCUUUUCUUAGGGAAGAACAAAAUGACGGUACCUAAGGAAUCAGCAUCGGCUAACUCCGUG